UAAUUAUCUAAAGAGAUACAGUAUUAAUAAUAAUAACUAACGAAAAUUCACACAGCGUCAUGUAGUCCCAAAUGUUGAGGGAAUUGCGAGUAUGCCGUAAUAGUGUACGUUGGUGGGACUCUAGCGGAGAUGGAAUGAGGAUCAUAGCAAGGUCAAUAAAGUCAUGGAAACCUAAAUGACUAGGUUUCCAUGAGGAUCAAGUGGAUCCAUUAAACUAUAUAUGAAAAAGCUUAAGUAACACUUUUUUAUGCAUUUGAAAUGUUAAACUGAUAACUACUGAUAGUUUCUGGUAACUGCUGGUAACCAUCGCUUAAAUACUUAUAUGAACAGGACCAUGAAUACCACAAUAUCAAA